rnacentral:rRNA from 1 species
UACAGAGGUCGUCGAGCGUUAGGCGGAAUCACUGGGCUUAAAGCGUGUGUAGGCGGAUCGGUAAGUACCUUGUGAAAAUCCCACGGCUUAACCGUGGAACUGCUUGGUAUACUGCCAGUCUUGAGCCAUCUAGGGGCUACCGGAACAAAUGGUGGAGCGGUGAAAAUGCGUAGAUAUCAUUUGGAACGCCAAUGGUGAAAA